rnacentral:rRNA from 1 species
CCUACGGGAGGCAGCAGUGGGGAAUAUUGCACAAUGGAGGAAACUCUGAUGCAGCGACGCCGCGUGAGCGAUGAAGGUUUUCGGAUCGUAAAGCCCUGUCCUAAGGGACGAUAAUGACGGUACCUUAGGAGGAAGCCCCGGCUAACUACGUGCCAGCAGCCGCGGUAAUACGUAGGGGGCGAGCGUUGUCCGGAUUUAUUGGGCGUAAAGGGUGCGUAGGCGGCCUUGUAAGUCAGAUGUGAAAUCUCACGGCUUAACCGUGGUAAGCAUUUGAAACUGUGAGGCUUGAGUACAGGAGAGGAGAGCGGAAUUCCUAGUGUAGCGGUGAAAUGCGUAGAUAUUAGGAGGAAUACCAGUGGCGAAGGCGACUCUCUGGACUGUAACUGACGCUGAGGCACGAAAGCGUGGGGAGCAGACAGGAUUAGAUACCCUGGUAGUCCACGCCGUAAACGAUGAGUGCUAGGUGUCGGGGGUCAAACCUCGGUGCCGCAGUUAACACAUUAAGCACUCCGCCUGGGGAGUACGGUGGCAACACUGAAACUCAAAUGAAUUGACGG